GUUUUCAUAUUUUCAAUAUAAUUGAUUAUGCUUUUUUACUUUCCGUUGCUUGUUUUCAUUUUUUAAAUGAUUUGUUUAUUUGGAUUAGCCUGUGUGUGGGAUUUCGCAGGCUCCUACUUUUUCGGCUGAAUAAUAACAGGGAGGUGAACAAGUUCGGAAAAUUUUCAAGCCUUUUUAGGAUUUGAGGUUUUGAAUUACUGGGAAAAGAGAAACACAGAGAUGGGUGAAGACGCUAAUUCUUGGAUAAGGAGAACGAAGUUUUCUCCCACUGUUUGUCAUAGGCUUGAUUCUUCUAGAUUGGCUUCUAUGAAUUUUACUUUACCAGAAAGGACUUUUGGAUUGAAAUUAAGUCCCGUCACAGCUUCUUCAAAUGACAAAUCAGUUCCUACUAAAUCACAGAUUCAGAGAAAAUCAAUGAACAAGCAGAGAUCUUUAUCUCCCCUUCCCAAAACAGUUCUAUCGGAUACGUUCAAGGAAGCAAGGUCUAAUACUAAAAGAUUUUCAACUCCACUUCCCAGGAGAAAAGAAUCAGACACAGAGAAGGGACUUAAGGGAAAGUUUUCACGUAAACAUUCCCAUAAAGAUUCCAGGCCAUCAUCAGAUUCCUAUAGUAUAAGCCCACUUAAUCACUUGGGUUCUCUGAAAAUCAGUGAUAAAUUCAAGACCAGAAAGGAGUCAGCUUGGAGCAAGUAUUUUGACCACGGUGGAGGCAGGGUUAACGCUGUUGAGGCUGCAGAUGAAUAUGGUGUUGAUCUUUCCCAGCUGUUUCUGGGGCUUAGGUUUGCUCAUGGGGCACAUAGCAGGCUUUACCAUGGGAUAUACAAGGAUGAGACUGUUGCAGUGAAGAUUAUUACGAUACCUGAUGAUGACGAAAACAGAAACAUGGCAGCUCGGUUAGAGAAGCAAUUCAGACGGGAAGUUACUCUUUUAUCUCAGCUCCAUCAUGCAAAUGUCAUCAAGUUUGUAGCAGCAUGCAGAAAGCCACCAGUAUAUUUUGUCAUUACUGAAUAUCUAUCAGAAGGUUCCUUGAGGGCUUACCUGCACAAGCUUGAGCACAAAUCCCUUCCCUUACAGAAAUUAAUUAGGAUUGCUCUGGAUAUUGCACGAGGAAUGGAAUAUAUUCAUUCUCAGGGUGUCAUUCAUCGAGAUCUUAAGCCAGAAAAUGUCCUUAUUGAUGAAGAAUUCCAUCUGAAAAUUGCUGAUUUUGGUAUCGCUUGUGAAGAGCAGUACUGUGAUGCCUGGGCCGAUGACCCAGGGACUUAUCGUUGGAUGGCACCUGAGAUGAUCAAGCAUAAACCAUACGGGCGAAAGGUUGACGUUUACAGUUUCGGGCUCAUAUUAUGGGAAAUGGUGGCUGGAACAAUCCCGUAUGAGGAGAUGAAUCCCAUUCAAGCUGCUUUUGCAGUUGUGAACAAGAAUUUACGGCCUGUUAUUCCAGGGGAUUGUCCACCUGCAAUGGCAGCUUUGAUCGAGCAAUGUUGGUCCUUGCAUCCAGAGAAGAGGCCUGAGUUCUGGCACAUUGUGAGAGUAUUGGAGCAAUUUGAAUCUUCACUUGCUCGUGAUGGAACCCUAUAUCUAGUGCAAAAUCCUGCUUGCCAAGAUCAUAAGAAAGGGCUCCUUCAUUGGAUUCAAAAGCUUGGUCCCGUACAUCCUAAUAGCUCACCAGUGCCUAAACCUAAAUUCAGUUGAAUCUUCCUUUUGGCCUGGCUUUUUAUUAGUGUAACCAGGUCAAUUGUAAUUAAAAGUUUGUUGAGGCUGCAUUCAAAAGCCAAAUUUAUGAGACUCACAUGGCUUGCAUGAAGACCUAUUCUUGAGGUAACUUUGUUUAGAUAUUGUUGUUCGUAUUUGAUUGGUUUCUUUUGUAGUUGAAUUGACAUGCAUGAGAUGUAUAUAUAGAUUUGGAUUGUUGACAAGGCAGAUGCAAAUUCCUAUGUAUAAUUUUAUAGGUCGCCUUCAUGAAGUGACAAAACAUUAUCUUUGGAUUAGGUGGGUGAGUUGUGUCCUUUAAAAUUGUGGAGAUUCAAUGUAAAGUUGAUAUCCAAGUGAAGUGUGGUCCUCAUGUAAUGGAUGGUUUGUUUUUGUGUCACUACAAUUAUGCUAUUAGAUGUCAUUUUUCUUGCUUAAAAGUUUAUUAUGUCUAAGCUCUUUUCAUGGGUACCCGCAGGUUCACCUGUAUUUGCAGGGUUGGAUACAGACUUGUAUAUUUUUUACCUGUGUAAGUUGACGUUUUGUCUAUACCUGUUUUGACCUACUCUGUGCUCGACCCGUCUUUUUCUAAUGAUACUUGUAAGUGCUUUGUUUACCAUAGAUAAUCCUUUAUAAUGACAUUACCACUUUCUGUCA